AACGCACAUUGCGCUGCCUGGAUAUCCCGGGUAGCAUUCUUGGCUGAGUGUCCGAGUCCUGUCUUUGCCACAGCUGUGUCAUGCUGCAUGCAGCAUGGAGGCUGUGAGUAAGAAUAUGGGGUUGCAGAGAGGAGUAGGUGUACGAUAUUACUAUCGUGUACACCUGCUGAGUAGCUGCUGCCCUUAAGUUGUAGACAGACAGUAUGGUGUGUCACAGUUCUGUGUUCCCAGUGUUGUCAGCCUCUGGUACAAAGUAGCUUUGUUGUGUGAGCGCUGACAUGGGGAGAGCACGGGAGUGAAGAGGGAGCAAGUAGCCACGAUAUUUGUGUCUAUUGUCUUGUGGGUAUCAAAAUUAUAACCGGAUCUCAGGUCAGGUAGGAUUACCCGCUGAAUUUAA
rnacentral:misc_RNA from 1 species